rnacentral:rRNA from 1 species
GGUUAAGCGACUAAGCGUACACGGUGGAUGCCCUGGCAGUCAGAGGCGAUGAAGGACGUGCUAAUCUGCGAUAAGCGUCGGUAAGGUGAUAUGAACCGUUAUAACCGGCGAUUUCCGAAUGGGGAAACCCAGUGUGAUUCGUCACACUAUCAUUAACUGAAUCCAUAGGUUAAUGAGGCGAACCGGGGGAACUGAAACAUCUAAGUACCCCGAGGAAAAGAAAUCAACCGAGAUUCCCCCAGUAGCGGCGAGCGAACGGGGAGCAGCCCAGAGCCUGAAUCAGUGUGUGUGUUAGUGGAAGCGUCUGGAAAGGCGCGCGAUACAGGGUGACAGCCCCGUACACAAAAAUGCACAUGCUGUGAGCUCGAUGAGUAGGGCGGGACACGUGGUAUCCUGUCUGAAUAUGGGGGGACCAUCCUCCAAGGCUAAAUACUCCUGACUGACCGAUAGUGAACCAGUACCGUGAGGGAAAGGCGAAAAGAACCCCGGCGAGGGGAGUGAAAAAGAACCUGAAACCGUGUACGUACAAGCAGUGGGAGCACGCUUAGGCGUGUGACUGCGUACCUUUUGUAUAAUGGGUCAGCGACUUAUAUUCUGUAGCAAGGUUAACCGAAUAGGGGAGCCGAAGGGAAACCGAGUCUUAACUGGGCGUUAAGUUGCAGGGUAUAGACCCGAAACCCGGUGAUCUAGCCAUGGGCAGGUUGAAGGUUGGGUAACACUAACUGGAGGACCGAACCGACUAAUGUUGAAAAAUUAGCGGAUGACUUGUGGCUGGGGGUGAAAGGCCAAUCAAACCGGGAGAUAGCUGGUUCUCCCCGAAAGCUAUUUAGGUAGCGCCUCGUGAAUUCAUCUCCGGGGGUAGAGCACUGUUUCGGCAAGGGGGUCAUCCCGACUUACCAACCCGAUGCAAACUGCGAAUACCGGAGAAUGUUAUCACGGGAGACACACGGCGGGUGCUAACGUCCGUCGUGAAGAGGGAAACAACCCAGACCGCCAGCUAAGGUCCCAAAGUCAUGGUUAAGUGGGAAACGAUGUGGGAAGGCCCAGACAGCCAGGAUGUUGGCUUAGAAGCAGCCAUCAUUUAAAGAAAGCGUAAUAGCUCACUGGUCGAGUCGGCCUGCGCGGAAGAUGUAACGGGGCUAAACCAUGCACCGAAGCUGCGGCAGCGACGCUUAUGCGUUGUUGGGUAGGGGAGCGUUCUGUAAGCCUGCGAAGGUGUGCUGUGAGGCAUGCUGGAGGUAUCAGAAGUGCGAAUGCUGACAUAAGUAACGAUAAAGCGGGUGAAAAGCCCGCUCGCCGGAAGACCAAGGGUUCCUGUCCAACGUUAAUCGGGGCAGGGUGAGUCGACCCCUAAGGCGAGGCCGAAAGGCGUAGUCGAUGGGAAACAGGUUAAUAUUCCUGUACUUGGUGUUACUGCGAAGGGGGGACGGAGAAGGCUAUGUUGGCCGGGCGACGGUUGUCCCGGUUUAAGCGUGUAGGCUGGUUUUCCAGGCAAAUCCGGAAAAUCAAGGCUGAGGCGUGAUGACGAGGCACUACGGUGCUGAAGCAACAAAUGCCCUGCUUCCAGGAAAAGCCUCUAAGCAUCAGGUAACAUCAAAUCGUACCCCAAACCGACACAGGUGGUCAGGUAGAGAAUACCAAGGCGCUUGAGAGAACUCGGGUGAAGGAACUAGGCAAAAUGGUGCCGUAACUUCGGGAGAAGGCACGCUGAUAUGUAGGUGAAGUCCCUCGCGGAUGGAGCUGAAAUCAGUCGAAGAUACCAGCUGGCUGCAACUGUUUAUUAAAAACACAGCACUGUGCAAACACGAAAGUGGACGUAUACGGUGUGACGCCUGCCCGGUGCCGGAAGGUUAAUUGAUGGGGUUAGCGCAAGCGAAGCUCUUGAUCGAAGCCCCGGUAAACGGCGGCCGUAACUAUAACGGUCCUAAGGUAGCGAAAUUCCUUGUCGGGUAAGUUCCGACCUGCACGAAUGGCGUAAUGAUGGCCAGGCUGUCUCCACCCGAGACUCAGUGAAAUUGAACUCGCUGUGAAGAUGCAGUGUACCCGCGGCAAGACGGAAAGACCCCGUGAACCUUUACUAUAGCUUGACACUGAACAUUGAGCCUUGAUGUGUAGGAUAGGUGGGAGGCUUUGAAGUGUGGACGCCAGUCUGCAUGGAGCCGGCCUUGAAAUACCACCCUUUAAUGUUUGAUGUUCUAACGUGGACCCGUAAUCCGGGUUGCGGACAGUGUCUGGUGGGUAGUUUGACUGGGGCGGUCUCCUCCUAAAGAGUAACGGAGGAGCACGAAGGUUGGCUAAUCCUGGUCGGACAUCAGGAGGUUAGUGCAAUGGCAUAAGCCAGCUUGACUGCGAGCGUGACGGCGCGAGCAGGUGCGAAAGCAGGUCAUAGUGAUCCGGUGGUUCUGAAUGGAAGGGCCAUCGCUCAACGGAUAAAAGGUACUCCGGGGAUAACAGGCUGAUACCGCCCAAGAGUUCAUAUCGACGGCGGUGUUUGGCACCUCGAUGUCGGCUCAUCACAUCCUGGGGCUGAAGUAGGUCCCAAGGGUAUGGCUGUUCGCCAUUUAAAGUGGUACGCGAGCUGGGUUUAGAACGUCGUGAGACAGUUCGGUCCCUAUCUGCCGUGGGCGCUGGAGAACUGAGGGGGGCUGCUCCUAGUACGAGAGGACCGGAGUGGACGCAUCACUGGUGUUCGGGUUGUCAUGCCAAUGGCACUGCCCGGUAGCUAAAUGCGGAAGAGAUAAGUGCUGAAAGCAUCUAAGCACGAAACUUGCCCCGAGAUGAGUUCUCCCUGACUCCUUGAGAGUCCUGAAGGAACGUUGAAGACGACGACGUUGAUAGGCCGGGUGUGUAAGCGCAGCGAUGCGUUGAGCUAACCGGUACUAAUGAACCGUGAGGCUUAACCUU